rnacentral:rRNA from 1 species
GAGUGAACGCUGGCGGUAGGCCUAACACAUGCAAGUCGAACGGCAGCACAGUAAGAGCUUGCUCUUACGGGUGGCGAGUGGCGGACGGGUGAGGAAUACAUCGGAAUCUACUUUUUCGUGGGGGAUAACGUAGGGAAACUUACGCUAAUACCGCAUACGACCUACGGGUGAAAGCAGGGGAUCUUCGGACCUUGCGCGAUUGAAUGAGCCGAUGUCGGAUUAGCUAGUUGGCGGGGUAAAGGCCCACCAAGGCGACGAUCCGUAGCUGGUCUGAGAGGAUGAUCAGCCACACUGGAACUGAGACACGGUCCAGACUCCUACGGGAGGCAGCAGUGGGGAAUAUUGGACAAUGGGCGCAAGCCUGAUCCAGCCAUACCGCGUGGGUGAAGAAGGCCUUCGGGUUGUAAAGCCCUUUUGUUGGGAAAGAAAAGCAGCAGGUUAAUACCCCGCUGUUCUGACGGUACCCAAAGAAUAAGCACCGGCUAACUUCAUG